GAUGAAGAACGCAGCGAAAUGCGAUACUUGGUGUGAAUUGCAGAAUCCCGUGAACCAUCGAGUCUUUGAACGCAAGUUGCGCCCGAAGCCAUCAGGUUGAGGGCACGUCUGCCUGGGCGUCACAUAUCGUUGCCCAAUGCCUAUUGCAGUGCAAUAGGAAUUUCUAGGGCGAAUGAUGGCUUCCCGUGAGCGUUGUUGCCUCGUGGUUGGUUGAAAAUCGAGUCCUUGGUAGGGUGUGCCAUGGUAGAUGGUGGUCGAGUUAGAACGAUACCGAUCAUGUGCAUGCUCCCCAAAAUAUGGCCUCUAUGACCCACACGCGUCUUUUGACGCUCAUGACGAGACCUCAGGUCAGGCGGGGCUACCCGCUGAAUUUAAGCAUAUCAAUAAGCGGAGGA
rnacentral:misc_RNA from 1 species